rnacentral:rRNA from 1 species
AACGAACGCUGGCGGCAGGCCUAACACAUGCAAGUCGGACGAACCCUUCGGGGUUAGUGGCGGACGGGUGAGUAACGCGUGGGAAUAUACCCUUUGGUACGGAAUAGCCUCGGGAAACUGAGAGUAAUACCGUAUGUGCCCUUCGGGGGAAAGAUUUAUCGCCAAAGGAUUAGCCCGCGUUGGAUUAGGUAGUUGGUGGGGUAAUGGCCUACCAAGCCGACGAUCCAUAGCUGGUUUGAGAGGAUGAUCAGCCACACUGGGACUGAGACACGGCCCAGACUCCUACGGGAGGCAGCAGUGGGGAAUCUUAGACAAUGGGGGAAACCCUGAUCUAGCCAUGCCGCGUGAGUGAUGAAGGCCUUAGGGUUGUAAAGCUCUUUCAGAUGGGAAGAUAAUGACGGUACCAUCAGAAGAAGCCCCGGNUAACUCCGUGCCAGCAGCCGCGGUAAUGUC